AAGUUUAUAUAUGUGUACUUGACAAUGCAGGUUAUUGCAAAUCUCGUCUCUGAUUAUACCGAGUAUACACAAUUUCUCAUCGGUAGUUCAUGGAAAUUAAUUAACAAUUACUUAAACCUCCAUCUCCGAGUAAUUAUUUUUCCUUAUAUAUCUUCGAUCUUCGUGAUUUCUACAUUCACAUCAACGGGUGUUAUUAAACAAGCAAACCAGUUUAUUUAUUUCAGAAAUACAUACUUCAAAAAGAUACUUUAUUGUUAUUUUCGAUAUUUCUGCAGCAGUCCUGACUGAUAAUUUCUUCGAACUUUUGGCCUUAACAUUUUUACAGUGCCACAGUACUAACUAUGAUGUUAAGUCUUCUACUACGUUUAUGUCUUUUAUAGCAUAUUUCUUAAUAAUAUUUAAUAUAGACUUAUUGCUUCUUAUAGAUACUUUUGUUGCAUGUAUGUUAAGCAUUUCACUGCAUGAAAGGUAUAUAUAGAGUGUCAGGCCACAGGUUUCCAAAAAUUUAAGAUACGAUUAUUGACGUUGAAAAUCAAGAAAAAAAUUGCGCUUUCGGCUUUAUUUUUGAGUUAUCGUUAAAUAAAAAUGGGCCAAUAUAUCCUUGCAAAUGAGGAAGCCUCUUUACGCGGACGAAAAGUGGUCAGCCUAAGCAGCGGCGCGCAACCACCUAAUGAUAUUUCCUACUAUAGAGGAUUAAUGUUGCCUCUAAUCCUUUGCUGCUACUAGUGUCCAUAGCAAAAGGACACUCGCACGGCAAUUGUCUUGGCCGCGAGUAGCCACAAAAAUGCAAUAAAUUACAAUAGAUGUUGGACGUUUAUUUGUAAACAGAGCAUGCCUCUUCACUCCAAAUUCUGCUGUAUUGUGUCUUUAUGUUUCUCCAGUAGUAAGAGUCGAAGGGAUUUAAAUCUGAAGACCGAGCAGGUCAAGGCACAGGUCCUUUUCAACUUAUCCACCUGUUUCCAAAGCAGCCGAACCAGUACUGUUGGUAGAAUAAGGUGGUGCACCAUCUUGCAUAAGCCAUUUCUGAAUGCGUGUGGAUUUUCACUUGCCCAGAAAUAUUCUUCUUCCAAAACUGUGCUACCUUUUUGCUUCAAAAUACCUAAAACAUGACUAUGUAGCAAUACAGAAAUUAUAUCGAAAGAAAUAUUUACUAUACUCUUCGCCAAUGCUUUCACUAUCUUCGUAUGACACGGAAUUAUCCAGGAAUUGCAAUGACGUUUUAGAAGUUCUUUUUGAAAACAAGGGUAUGGUGAUAAGGAAGCGAGCAAGCUGUGCAUCAGAUGUGUUUAAAGAAAGCGGAGACCUAUUUUGCACUAUCUUCAAACAUUACAUAGCAAGAGAAUUAUUAUUAAGAUUUACGAUACAAUCUAUUUUCCCAAUUUGUAAUAACAAUUUGUUACUAAAUUGUUUUAGUAAGAAGAAGUUUCUGGUUGGUGGCUCUUGCCCUAAUAACAAUGUCAGAGGCAGAGAAAAA